GCUUCAAGGUGGUAGUCAAAGCUCCUCUAGUAUCUUUGGUCCUAAUGCACUUCCCAAAUAGUCUCCGUGCUAGUUCUGUGCCUGACAUCCGUUGCAAUGAAAGGAUCUGCAUGGAUCCAAGGAUUUUGAUUAUUUUUGUAUCUGCAGGAGGAAAGUCUCAAUAAAUGGCAUGACUUUCAGGGCCAUCGAUGUAGAGAGGGAAGAUAGACACAAAAAGCAGGAUUAACUCAGCGGGACAGGCAGCAUCUCUGGAGAGAAGGAAUGGAAGAGGGAUCCUGGGGUGCAUACGUGAGGCGUUGCACCUUGAGAGGCCGAAUAUAAACUUUGAAUGCAAGGAGAAAGUACAUAGUUGACGCCAAGGCCCUUAACAAUUAUGUACAGAGGGAUGACACAAAGGGAUGAGGUGGGAGUGAAAGAAGAGGGACCAUAUUGAAUACUUUUGUAAAUGUCGGUGUCCUUAACAUGGUGACUCUUGCAUAAUUGUACUGUUUGCAAACAAGGAAUCUCACUUUACCAAGUACAAGUGACAGUAAAAGAAUCAAUAGCUUCGAACGAAA